rnacentral:lncRNA from 1 species
GAGGGCUUUAUUUAUAGCCUCCUUUUUUUCUGUCACUAUUAGAUAAAUUCUAUGCAAGAAUGUUCUCCAAGGUUUCUCUCUGUUCUUACCCUUCGGCUUCCAGGGCCAGAGGUCUUGCAUUGGCUCUGCUUUGCUCUCUGUUCUCCUGGCCAUCCUCAGACCCAGAGCCACAGGUAAAGAAAGCAGGAAACUGUGACUAAAUGAAGAUCACAGAGCCAGUUGAUCAGUGGGGAAGCUGCAUCUGAAAUCCAGGACUUCUAGAUCCUGGGUCAACUGGAGGGGUCAUGCAUUCUGGAAAAUAAUGCAGAGUGGUACAGGCUGAAGCGGAGCGGAGAGGACACUGUUUCAAGAUUCCUGCGCCAGCUCCUUCGUUGUUAUAGAAGUUGGACUAAAUAAAAGGGUAAUCACAAGCGUACAGAUAACAGGCAGGCAGGAAUGUGAAAAUCAGAGAGAAGAGAGAUGUGCACCAGAAGCUGGAGUAAUGUGCUUUGAAGAUGGAGGAAGGGACCAUAAAUCAAGGAAUGCAGACAGCCUGUAGAAGCUGGGAAAGGCAAGGAUGUGGAUUCACUCGAGUCUCUAGAAGAAACGCAACCCCGCCAACACCUUGAUUUGAGGACGUCUGACCUUCAGAAUGAGAAAAUGAUACAUUUGUGUUGUAAGCCACCCAGUUUGUGAAAUAUGUAUCAACAAUUGAAAACUAGUACAUAGUCAAAUACUCAAUCUCUGUUUUUUUUAGCUUAUCAUUUUCAAUCUCUGUCUCCAACCCACAAACCACAUGCAUCAUAAAUAAAUUAAAAUACCAAAA